rnacentral:rRNA from 1 species
UACAGAGGUCCCAAGCGUUGUUCGGAUUCACUGGGCGUAAAGGGUGCGUAGGCGGUCGGGUAAGUCUGAUGUGAAAUCUCACAGCUUAACUGUGAAACUGCAUUGGAUACUAUUCGGCUAGAGAGUUGGAGGGGGGACUGGAAUUCUUGGUGUAGCAGUGAAAUGCGUAGAUAUCAAGAGGAACACCAGUGGCGAAGGCGAGUCUCUGGACAUUUCCUGACGCUGAGGCACGAAAGCCAGGGGAGCAAACGGG